rnacentral:lncRNA from 1 species
ACUGGAGAGGGCAAGAACCUGAUAGUUGCUUAUUCCAUGAAGCUGUUCCUCUCAUCAGGCUCAGCCUGGACCUGAACCAUAGAGGAUUCCUGUGAGAUGUCAGUUUUCUGCCCUGGAUGUUGAAACGCAGCGUCUUCCAGCCCUCAUUAACUUGGACUUCUCCUGUGCACCAGCUCCAUCUUGUGGUUGCUUGUCAACUUUCCACAGUUCUAGGCACAAACACAACUCCUUCUACUGUCCUCGUAGGCUGGACAGAAUCAAGCAGGAGCGAAGAGUAGGCUCGCAGCUUUCCACAAAAGGCCGUUGAUGGGUGAGGUUGGAAGUAGGGCGAAGCAAUAAAUUCUCAAAGCCUGCCAUCAGGGACACACGACUCCUCGCAAGGCUCCUGUCUUUAAGUGUCAUAACCCAAGCAGAUCCACUGGGGAUGCUCAAAUAUGUGAGCCACGGUAGACAGCUACUAUUUAUGCCACGCCACCACCAUUAGCAAUGAAGGCUGCCUUAAAGUACAUGCCAACAUGAUGAUUUUAGUGAGUUCUUAACGCAAAAGGAGUGUUGCAGGGAUCUGAUGGACAAAGGGCAUGUUUCGGGGGUGUUCUAGUCUUUCCAUGCUUUGGCAUGUGAUGUGGGGCAUGUAGUCAAGCUUUUGUCUGAGUCCCCUGUCAUCUGAGGCCUUGUCUGGGUGAGGGAAUACAGAUGCUGUGCUUGAUGACGGAUGUGAACAGGCAUAGGCCAGGCUGAAAGGGGACAGUGACGCAAGACAACAGUACAUCAUUAUGGCUUCCUCUUAUGAGCACUCACUUUUGAAAAAAUAAAAACACAGCCCCAGACUGGCUCACUUACAGGUGUCAUUGGAACAACCCAUCAGGAAGAUAUAGAAGAAAUAGGCUCACAGAUGGUGACAGGCAGAGACUUGACAAACAUUUCCUAAGAUGGAGAAGUCUUGAUGUCAUUACAUCUACAGACAAGAGCACCUUUAAGAAGUCAGUAAACCCAGGAGGGUGAAUAAGCUAGCCUGAUGCAGAUGAGAAAGCCUUAUACAGCUUGUCUGUGCUCCUGGACCCAAGGGUUUUGUUUUCUGUUGUUUACACUGUCAAAUCACAAACAGUGGUUCCCCCAAGAGAUUCUCUUUGCUUCUCCCACUGUCUGCUCCCAGCAGCUACCGGAGGGACGCUUCCUCCCACAGCUGCUGCAGAAGCCAGCUUCCUCAGGGUCCCUGACAGGGAGGAGCUGAGCUGUUAGGAAUGAGUUGCCCACCCACUGUUAAGUAAUGUUCUGUCUCCAGCAUGGUAUUUCCACUGGAAAAUGUGCUGUGCACUUGGCUGUGGUGACAGUGGUAUUUACCACACAUCUGCCUCACAGGCCUAUGUGACAGCUCCAAGGCCCAGUUCCAGGAUGGCAAGUAGUCCCUGAAGACUCUUUGCCUUCAUUAGCACCAGACUAGAGCAAGUCAAGAUAGGGCUGGUGGAAUCCAUUAGGAAAGUUAAGCAGUGGAGCCUAUGGAGAGGCUAUGUCGGCAUCCUUACUACAGUGGCACAUAUCAUUGCCCCCACAGAGUCAUCUAAGUCAUGCGUCUGCAGAAGGGGCCUUGCUGUGGGAACAGCCUGGAAGGUUGUUAUGUUGUUGGUACAUUUGUUAGGGGCUUGCUGGAACCCAAGCUAAAGCCACAGCUUCUUUAAUACUUUCCAAACACUUCCCUCACUUAUUAGAAACUAGUGUUAAAUCUGAAACAUUGCGUGACAGCAGAGAAAUGUGGUUUUGAUAAUGAUGUUCCUCUUGGCUACACAGUUAUGUUUCAUCGAGCUUAUGGUGAGCAAAUUGCCACUGCACAGCAUAGAGCCAGGCAUUGCUACUGCACAGCAUAGAGCCAGGCAUUGAGGCAGAAGAGAGGAAGCCUCUGUAAUUUGCCACUGAGUAAUACCAGUGUUCUCCAUCACUGAAAACCCAGACCGUCUCUCCCCUCACCAAUCUCUAUCAUAUACCUCAACCCCACAUAUGAAAAUUGUUUCCCAGGAAGAGCUGGCACCAGGUAAUCUUUAGGUCACACAUUGCUUUUAGGAUGAUGUUUACAAUUCCUGGGUUCUAUGGUGGUACAUUAUCUUUGAAUGCUCAACCGUGUUGACUUGUAGGGGUAGAAAACAUGGCCCAGCAACACCAGGAUGGUAAAAUUACCUGUCUUCCUACCCUUUAGAAAUCUUCUGAGCAUAGUUCAAUUAAUUUUC